rnacentral:miRNA from 1 species
UAUACGCUGCAUGAGAGCUGUCU